rnacentral:lncRNA from 1 species
UCAACACCUGUGGUGUAUGGCCCUCAAAAGCAAGUAAGCUUAAGGUUAAUUUUGGUGAUGAUGCCACCCCUUGACAUCCCUCUUGCUCAUGCACUAAUGAUUAUCCUUAUUAUGCAGAAUUUCAAUUUCUUGUCCCUGUCAGCAGGAAAUAAUGGGUUAAAGGUCCAUAAUAAUAAUAAUUGUAACAAAAUUGGAAGCAGGUUGGAACCAUUAUCAAAAUUGCAAGUGCCUUAUUUUCAGUCACUAGCACAGCAGCAUGGGGUGGUCAUGCCGAUUCCUGUGGCUCAGAGUCAGU